CGUGGAGCUCGACUCGGAGCCGUUCAGGAGCUGGACGAUCCGGUCGUAUUUUUUACGGGUCACCGUCUUGGUUUUUCCUGAGUCCCCGAGGCAAAACGGAUCUGGUGGAGGUUCCUCUUAUCCUUCCACUGUACGUGAUCAGUCUCUUUAAUAAUUGUGCAAGGCAGGACUAUCCCACUGGCUCCAGCAGCAGCGCCUUACCCACAGAGGGUUCGGUUGGAUAAAUAAUUAAAAUCCCAUCCCUCGGCUUACCGAAGGAAAAAGAAAAUAUUGACUCGGAUCCUUCUUCUUUUCCAUACAUCAACUGCACCCGGAUUCAACCUGGAUAGUGCAGGUGAAGAGGAGGAAAAAAAAAAAAAAAAAAAGAACGGAAAGAAGAGAAAAAGCCCACCCUAGUCCGCCCCGGCAGCCCUCGGCUGUCUUCUCCGAAGGCUUUCUGAGCUUUCUGUCUCUGUCCUGGCGGGCUGUGCCUCUCCCCAAAGCCGCCUCGCCGCGCAGGAUGGAAGAAGCACUGAAGGGCACACUGGUCUCUUUGCUCCCCCUUUAUUCCAAGGCUGGGCGGCUUUGCUUCAGAUAUCCCCGCUCCGGGCAUGAAGGUACUGGAAAGAAAGAAAGUUCUUACCUGCUAUUUUCUAAGCCUAAUGCAUCCGAUCCGCGUUUAAAGUACAUAAUUUUUAAUUUUUAAAAAAUGGUCUGUGAAAAUUUCACUUCCUCAUAUUGAGUCCCAUUGAAUUUUCAUAUGCCCUUUCAGGAAUUUUCCUCUGUUUAUUUACAUAGCGAUCCCAGCCGAUGGAAGGAAAAAAAAAAAAAAAAAGAAGAAAGAAAGAAAGAAAACCCAUAUAUAUGAAACAGGCUUGGAUAUUGGACCAGAGGAGAGAUCAGUCCCAGGAGGAUGUUGGUACAGGAAAGGAGGCGGCUCUCGUUGCUCUGCCAGUGUAAUGAUGGUGCUCACACAUGUAGGACUCCUCGGGUGCGGGGUAUCCUUUGGUCUCUGGGCUAAACUGGCUACAAGGCAUUCAAUUAAGAUUUUUGAUUCGUGUUGUUGGAAGAUAUGGAUGUUUCAUGACUGCUUCCAGUAAUCACUUGGCCAGAAGUCCUAGGAGCAUCCUGGAACACCACCCACCCUGCCAGACAAUGGAUCAGCACAGGAUACAAAACUUAUUCCUACCCUAAAGAAUUGGUGAUCUAAAAACGGGCAAUUACAUGAAUUAACAGAGUUUAAUUACACAGUCUGGAAUCUCCUUGCAAUGAAAAGUGCUUGCACAGAUCAUCCUCCUGUCAAGAGUUGUAAUGACAACCUGUUAUUCAGCUGAAAUUGAAACUCCUGUGGCAUCCUUGAGUAGAGGGACUGUGUUGGUCCUUCAGUGCCAUGGACUGAGGCUGUUCUGUGCUCUGCAUUUGCAGAACUCACUUGCCUCUGCCAGAAAAUGAAAGUUUCUCUCCUCUGGUGUGGAGACACCACGUCCGUGCCUUGCUGGCUUGAUUGCUCUGCAGCCAGCCUGAAACAAUACACCACCAACAGAUGUGUGAACAUUUCCAUUCAGUGGAAUGAAGUGCUAGCUGCAAAACAGAGUUUUGGCUAUUUGAAUUGCCUCAUGUGCAUCAAGCUGUGAAAGAGGUUUAAAGUAAAUCAUGAAUAUCAUAAAUACUGUAUUUUUUGAAUUAUCAGCUCUAACAAGUCCACUGGCACUAGAAAGUGAAGACAGGCAGAAUGGGGCCUGAUGUCUCUCAUUGGAGUUACCAGGGUUUCUAGAUGAUAUUACAAUCUUGCAGUGACGUGGAACUGAGUCCACAGAAAAAGCGGAGAGAUAUUUUCAAGUUUUUUAAACUUGCUGCAAAAUAGAGAGUAGGUUUUUGGCUUAAAUCUGUCAUCUGACUUCUACCAAAGAGAAUUGUUUGGAAAACAUGCACCAUAUUUCAGCACAGUGCUUGAUAUGGCAUUACUGGAUGGCUAAGGGUACACUUUGAGGAUGUGAAUUUCCUGCCUCUUGGGUUUUUUGUUCAUUGACAUAGCGAGAAAAAAUUAUUUUGACACUUCUGUCUUGUCAUGUCCAUGAGUUACGUUGGAAAGCCCCUUUCUGUGCAGACUGAAAAUCAUCCAUGCUGAACUGACAGAAGAUGUGCUGAGGAAUAAAGAAACUGCAGCUCCAAAUGGUUUGCUUUAAACUACA